CCCUUAGAUGUCCUGGGCUGCACGCGCGCUACACUGAUGUGUCCAGUAAGCACCUAACCUCUUCCGAAAGGAACGGGUAACCUUUGCAAAGCACAUCGUGAUGGGGAUAGAUUAUUGCAAUUAUUAGUCUUGAACGAGGAAUUCCUAGUAAGCACAAGUCAUCAGCUUGUGUUGAUUACGUCCCUGCCCUUUGUACACACCGCCCGUCGCUCCUACCGAUUGAAUGGUUCGGUGAAGAUCUCGGACUUCGAUAUUUAUUCUUUAUUGAGUUUAUAUUGUGGGAAGUUAUCUAAACCUCAUCAUUUAGAGGAAGGUGAAGUCGUAACA
rnacentral:rRNA from 1 species